ACGGGAGGCAGCAGUAGGGAAUCUUCGGCAAUGGGGGGAACCCUGACCGAGCAACGCCGCGUGAGUGAAGAAGGUUUUCGGAUCGUAAAGCUCUGUUGUAAGAGAAGAACGUUGAUGAGAGUGGAAAGUUCAUCAAGUGACGGUAUCUUACCAGAAAGGGACGGCUAACUACGUGCCAGCAGCCGCGGUAAUACGUAGGUCCCGAGCGUUGUCCGGAUUUAUUGGGCGUAAAGCGAGCGCAGGCGGUUCUGUAAGUCUGAAGUUAAAGGCAGUGGCUCAACCAUUGUUCGCUUUGGAAACUGCAGGACUUGAGUGCAGAAGGGGAGAGUGGAAUUCCAUGUGUAGCGGUGAAAUGCGUAGAUAUAUGGAGGAACACCGGUGGCGAAAGCGGCUCUCUGGUCUGUAACUGACGCUGAGGCUCGAAAGCGUGGGGAGCAAACAGGAUUAGAUACCCUGGUA
rnacentral:rRNA from 1 species